GACGAACGCUGGCGGCGUGCCUAAUACAUGCAAGUAGAACGCACAGUUUAUACCGUAGCUUGCUACACCAUAGACUGUGAGUUGCGAACGGGUGAGUAACGCGUAGGUAACCUGCCUGGUAGCGGGGGAUAACUAUUGGAAACGAUAGCUAAUACCGCAUAAUAUUGAUUAUUGCAUGAUAAUUAAUUGAAAGGUGCAAUUGCACCACUACCAGAUGGACCUGCGUUGUAUUAGCUAGUAGGUGAGGUAACGGCUCACCUAGGCGACGAUACAUAGCCGACCUGAGAGGGUGAUCGGCCACACUGGGACUUAGACACGGCCCAGACUCCUACGGGAGGCAGCAGUAGGGAAUCUUCGGCAAUGGACGAAAGUCUGACCGAGCAACGCCGCGUGAGUGAAGAAGGGUUUCGGAUCGUAAAGCUCUGUUGUAAGAGAAGAACGGGUGUGAGAGUGGAAAGUUCACACUGUGACGGUAUCUUACCAGAAAGGGACGGCUAACUACGUG
rnacentral:rRNA from 1 species